AGUUCUAAAGAUUAAAGUAAUAAACAAAUAACGUCAACGAACAUGCAUGUGGUUGCAUGGAGAACGUUCUACCAACAACCACAGCAUUGCGUAUAGGAAAUGUGUCAAGAUGACAAAGUCAUCCUCUGACUAAUACUAUAAAAGUAGCUUCUCGCAUCAGUGAACAUUAGAUUAUAAUUAGAUUAUUAGCAAUGAUCAAAGAUUAAGAAAGAGGAACGAGACUCGACUCUCAAGAAGACUCCAUGGCUGAAGACGAAUCUGCUUUAAUGUGCUAAUAUUAACGUAGAAAGAAGACAACAUGGAUAUCUUGCGAAUUACACUUGAACUAUUGAACUAUGCUAUCAAGUUUCAAUGGUCACUCGGACAGAUAAGUUUUAACAUAUAGCCUAAUUAACCGU